GAUGAACGCUGGCGGCGUGCCUAAUACAUGCAAGUCGAGCGAACGGACGAGAAGCUUGCUUCUCUGAUGUUAGCGGCGGACGGGUGAGUAACACGUGGAUAACCUACCUAUAAGACUGGGAUAACUUCGGGAAACCGGAGCUAAUACCGGAUAAUAUUUUGAACCGCAUGGUUCAAAAGUGAAAGACGGUCUUGCUGUCACUUAUAGAUGGAUCCGCGCUGCAUUAGCUAGUUGGUAAGGUAACGGCUUACCAAGGCAACGAUGCAUAGCCGACCUGAGAGGGUGGUCGGCCACACUGGAACUGGAACACGGUCCAGGCUCCUACGGGAGGCAGCAGUAGGGAAUCUUCCGCAAUGGGCGGAAACCUGGCGGGACAACGCCGCGUGGGUGAUGAAGGUCUUCGGGUCGUAAAACUCUGUUAUUAGGGAAAAACAUAUUUGUAAGUGACUGUGCACAUCUUGACGGUACCUAAUCAGAAAGCCACGGCUAACUACGUG
rnacentral:rRNA from 1 species